CAGCUUCCUCUGCUAGUUCUUCGAGCAAUCUUGCUGGAAGUUGUGGUUCAUGAUGGUGAUGUUGCAAUCCGCACCCUUGCCCUUACAUGCAGCUGCUUCAACAACAUUGUGUGCAUGGAAAGUUUCCGGUUGCUAGACAUUAUACCAGCUCCAGCUUGGAUCCAGCCUGUUAUGAAAGAAGACGUCAGAUAACCCAACACCUCUGAAUAAGGACUCCAGAACAUCAAACAUGGAUGAUUAUGCAACAUUAUCAUGUUAUCAGGUUGCUUCGAAUGCACACUACUUUUGCUUAAAUGGAUUAUCUUACAACUGUUAUUUCUGAUAUCAUCUCGUAACAGACUAUUGUGAUUUUGUAACAUAGAAACAUGCAUUUUCUGUAAAGCUGCUCUGAAUUAUGUAUAGUGAAAAGCAUUAUACAAGUGAAUGUGAAGUAAAUUGCAUUGUUGGUUACUGUA